rnacentral:rRNA from 1 species
UGCAAGUCGANCGGUAACAGGAAGUGCUUGCACUUCGCUGACGAGUGGCGGACGGGUGAGUAAUACUUAGGGAUCUGCCUUCGGGAGGGGGAUAACCAUUGGAAACGAUGGCUAAUACCGCAUAACGUCUACGGACCAAAGGGGGCUUUUAGCUCUCACCUGAAGAGGAACCUAAGCGAGAUUAGCUUGUUGGUGAGGUAAAGGCUCACCAAGGCGACGAUCUCUAGCUGUUCUGAGAGGAAGAUCAGCCACACUGGGACUGAGACACGGCCCAGACUCCUACGGGAGGCAGCAGUGGGGAAUAUUGCACAAUGGGGGCAACCCUGAUGCAGCCAUGCCGCGUGUGUGAAGAAGGCCUUCGGGUUGUAAAGCACUUUCAGUCGUGAGGAAAGGUUAGUAGUUAAUACCUGCUAGCUGUGACGUUAACGACAGAAGAAGCACCGGCUAACUCCGUGCCAGCAGCCGCGGUAAUACGGAGGGUGCGAGCGUUAAUCGGAAUUACUGGGCGUAAAGCGCACGCAGGCGGAUUGUUAAGCUAGAGGUGAAAGCCCCGCGCUCAACGUGGGAAUUGCCUUUAGAACUGGCAGUCUAGAGUCUUGGAGAGGGGAGUGGAAUUCCAGGUGUAGCGGUGAAAUGCGUAGAGAUCUGGANGAACAUCAGUGGCGAANGCGACUCCCUGGCCAAAGACUGACGCUCAUGUGCGAAAGUGUGGGUAGCGAACAGNANUAGAUACCCUGGUAGUCCACACCGUAAACGCUGUCUACUAGCUGUUUGUGUAUUCUAUACGUGAGUAGCGAANCUANCGCGCUAAGUA